UGUCGCUAUGGGGGCCCCUAUACCCCUAUUGGGGGUCCCCAUGUGCCUAUGAGGGGUUGUCAUGUUCCCAUUGGCGUCCCCGUGUCCCUAUGAGGCGUCCCUGUGUUCCUGUGGCGGGUCCCUGUGUCCCUAUUGGGGUUCUCCAUGUCCUCAUUGGGGUCCACAUGUCCCUAUGGGGGGUCCCCUGUGUUCCUAUGGGGGCCCCUAUGCCCCUAUUGGGGGUCCCCAUGUCCCUAUGGGGGGUCUGCCAUGUCCCCAUUGGGGUCCCUAUACCCCUUUUGGGGUCUCUGUGUUCCUAUUGGGGUUCCUCAUGUCCCUAUAGGGCCC
rnacentral:lncRNA from 1 species